UACGUAGGGCGCAAGCGUUGUCCGGAAUUAUUGGGCGUAAAGAGCUCGUAGGCGGCCUGUUGCGUCCGCUGUGAAAUCCCGGGGCUCAACCCCGGGCCUGCAGUGGAUACGGGCUGGCUAGAGGCAGGCAGGGGAGAACGGAAUUCCUGGUGUAGCGGUGAAAUGCGCAGAUAUCUGGAGGAAUACCGGUGGCGAAGGCGGCAUCCUGGACCGACAUUGACGCUGAUGAGCGAAAGCUAGGGGAGCAAACGGG
rnacentral:rRNA from 1 species